rnacentral:rRNA from 1 species
UACGGGGGGGGGCAAGCGUUGUUCGGAAUUACUGGGCGUAAAGGGCUCGUAGGCGGCCAACUAAGUCAGACGUGAAAUCCCUCGGCUUAACCGGGGAACUGCGUCUGAUACUGGAUGGCUUGAGUUUGGGAGAGGGAUGCGGAAUUCCAGGUGUAGCGGUGAAAUGCGUAGAUAUCUGGAGGAACACCGGUGGCGAAGGCGGCAUCCUGGACCAACACUGACGCUGAGUGAGCGAAAGCCAGGGGGAGCAAAACGGG